AGGCGACGAUCCCUAGCUGGUCUGAGAGGAUGACCAGCCACACUGGAACUGAGACACGGUCCAGACUCCUACGGGAGGCAGCAGUGGGGAAUAUUGCACAAUGGGCGCAAGCCUGAUGCAGCCAUGCCGCGUGUAUGAAGAAGGCCUUCGGGUUGUAAAGUACUUUCAGCGGGGAGGAAGGGAGUAAAGUUAAUACCUUUGCUCAUUGACGUUACCCGCAGAAGAAGCACCGGCUAACUCCGUGCCAGCAGCCGCGGUAAUACGGAGGGUGCAAGCGUUAAUCGGAAUUACUGGGCGUAAAGCGCACGCAGGCGGUUUGUUAAGUCAGAUGUGAAAUCCCCGGGCUCAACCUGGGAACUGCAUCUGAUACUGGCAAGCUUGAGUCUCGUAGAGGGGGGUAGAAUUCCAGGUGUAGCGGUGAAAUGCGUAGAGAUCUGGAGGAAUACCGGUGGCGAAGGCGGCCCCCUGACGAAGACUACGUCAGUCAAAGCG
rnacentral:rRNA from 1 species